CUUAACAGUAACCAAUCAUGGGAGUUCACGCCUAGGUAGGGAGAGAGAUGCAAAUGAUUGUUUGAGGAAAAAAAUCUGUGUGUGAAGAAACAUACCACUCCACCUCAAGUUCUAGAGGGAGUUUUUAUUCUGUCAUGUGGAGAUCCUUCAGGGCUCCGUGGAAACAGAUGUUGGUUGAACAUAUUGCUGAGACUGUUUGGAGUGUUUAGGAGAAUGAAAGCAUGUCUGUCAGUGUAAAUGCUAUGGGUUGCUUGUUGUGCUACCGUGUCCUGAUAUUUACUCUGUCUAAACAGAACACACACCUGUGGCUUUUUUGUCUGCGGUCUUACAGCUAGCUGUGUGUGUGUGGGCCAGUGUUUCCAGAACUCCUGCGGCCCCCAAGGGGGUUCAUGUUGGGUUUUUGCCCUAGCACUACGCAGCUGAUUCAAAUAAUGAAAGCUUGAUGAUUUUUGGAUCAGCUGUGUAGUGCUAGGGCAAAACCCCAAAUGUGCACCUCUUGGGGACCCUGGGACCGAGUUUGGGAAAUAAUGGUGUAGGCUAGUGUGUAUGUGUGGGGUACUCUAUAAUACAAGGCUGGUGUGUGGGGUACUCUAUAAUACAAGGCUGGGGUGUGUGUGUGUGGGGUACUCUAUAAUACAAGGCUGGUGUGUAUGUGUGGGGUACUCUGUAAUACACUGGGAACUUGAUUUGUUUGUAGAAUUUUUGUAAUUUCAUAUAUUCUGAACAAAAAUAUAAAUGCAUUAUGCAACAAUUUUUUGGGAUUACACUGAGGUACAAUUCAUAUAAGGAAAUCAGUCAAUUUAAAUUAAUGAAUUAGUCCCUAAUAUAUGGAUUUCACAUGACUGGGAAUACAGAUAUGCAUCUGUUGGUCAAAGAUAUCAUAAAAAAUGGUUUCACGCUAUCUCUAUGCAUUCAAAUUCAAUAAAAGGAAAUUGUGUUCAUUGUCUGUAGCUAAUGCCUGCCCAUACCAUAACCCCACCGCCACCAUGGGGCACUCUGUCCACAAUGUUGACAUCAGCAAACCGUUGGCCCAGACGACGCCAUACACGGGGUCUGCGGUUGUGAGGCUGGUUGGACGUACUGCUAAAUUCUCUAAAAUGACGUUGGAAGCGGCUUACGGUAGAGAAAUUUAACAUUUUAUUCUAUGGCAACAGCUCUGGUGUACAUUCCUGCAGUUACCAUGGCAAUUGAAACUUCCUUUAAAACAUGAGACAUCUGUGGAGUAGUGUUGUGAAAAACUGCACAUUUUAGAGUAGCCUUUUAUUGCCCCCAGCACAAGGUGCACCUGUGUAAUGAUCAUGCUGUUUAAUCAGCUUCUUGAUAGGUCACACCUGUCAGGUGGAUAUGAGAAAUGCUCACUAACAGGGAUGUAAACACAUUUGUGCACAACAUUUGAAAGAAAUAUGCUUUUUGGGAUCUUUUAUUUCAGCUUAUGAAACGUGGGACCAACACUUUACAUGGUGUGUUUAUAUUUUUGAUCAUUGUAUAUCAAAAGUCUAUUUGUAUAAAAGAACAAUGAAAUGAUUUUAAACUAUGCUAAAUAAAAUUGUUAUAGUUAAAUAGGGA
ensembl:lncRNA